rnacentral:misc_RNA from 1 species
UCUCCGUUGGUGAACCAGCGGAGGGAUCAUUAAAAAUGAGUUUAAAUACUCUUAAACCUACCGUGCUCCCCUCUGUGGAUGAUAUGAAAGCCCUCCGGGGCAUCGGGAAUCUGAGAAAGUUGAGAACUGCGCCCCGGCGCACGAUCAAGCAAAGUUACAACCCAUAACAAUGGAUCUCUUGGCUCUGGCAUCGAUGAAGAACGCAGC